GAUGAACGCUGGCGGCGUGCCUAAUACAUGCAAGUCGAGCGAACAGACGAGGAGCUUGCUCCUCUGACGUUAGCGGCGGACGGGUGAGUAACACGUGGAUAACCUACCUAUAAGACUGGGAUAACUUCGGGAAACCGGAGCCAAUACCGGAUAAUAUAUUGAACCGCAUGGUUCAAUAGUGAAAGACGGUUUUGCUGUCACUUAUAGAUGGAUCCGCGCCGGAUUAGCUAGUUGGUAAGGUAACGGCUUACCAAGGCAACGAUGCGUAGCCGACCUGAGAGGGUGAUCGGCCACACUGGAACUGAGACACGGUCCAGACUCCUGCGGGAGGCAGCAGUAGGGAAUCUUCCGCAAUGGGCGAAAGCCUGACGGAGCAACGCCGCGUGAGUGAUGAAGGUCUUCGGAUCGUAAAGCUCUGUUAUUGGGGAAGAAAAAAUGUGUAAGUAACUAUGCACGUCUUGACGGUACCUAAUCAGAAAGCCACGGCUAACUACGUG
rnacentral:rRNA from 1 species